CGUCCUUCUUCAGUGCGGGCUCCGACCAAUGACGGUCGCCCUUUUAGGUUCUUAGCCCGCCCUCCAAGUGCGCUACAGCCGUUGGGUCAGAAGUCUAUAGGGCAGCGUGUUCACGUGGCCCGUUUUCACGACCCAGAGUUCCCCUGGCCGUGGGUUUUUUUUUUUUCCCCCACCUUCUUUCCCUCGCGCUCUCCUUCUCUCCUGCAGGGAGGCAUUAUGGGUUUGUGGGUCCGUUCCCCCUCCCCCGCCCCCGCACCACAGGGAAAGGAAGUGCCGACGUGGCCUGCGGAAAUAGGAUAGGCGGAAAUGAGCUAAGGUUCCCGGGAGUGGGAAGAGCGAGGUCAAACCAGCGCCACGCCCCCGAGCCUGUUGCGCAACCCUCAGAACGGGAGAAAAAAAAAAAACCCAACCAAACCAAAAGGAAAAAUGAAGGUUUUGAGGUGUAUGCGUGUGAGGGUGGUAUUUCUACACAUGUGUAUGUGUUCAGAAGUCAGAGGCACUGGAUCCUCCGGAGCUGGGAUUACUGGCUGUUCUGAGACACCUGACAUGGAUGCUGGGAACCUAACUCGGGUCUUCUGGUAGAGCAGCAAGUGGUCUUAAUGGCUGAGCCACGUCUUCAGCUGCAAAGGGGAAAGGUUUUUUAGAGCGGUUCUCCAAAAAUCAGAAGCAUCAGUAAAACUCGGUGCUUCAUCUACAUGUACGUACGUCUAUGUAUCUUGUAUGCGUCUGCAAGAGGCCAGAGGAGGACAUCAGAUUCCCUGAGACUGGGAAGGUUUGCUGGGCCCAUUUUACAGAUAAAGAACCAGAGAUCAGAUGUAAACUCUCAGCUACUACUCUGAUGCCAAGCUUGUCUGCUUGUUGCCAUGCUCCCCAUCAUGAUGAUUAUGAACUCACCCUCUGAAACUAUGAGUGAGGAAGCUAAGCCACUUGAGUGAAACAAUGUGUCUAUGAAAGGAAGAGCUUCAAAAACGGUGUCAUAAUAAUAUGUGAUACAGACUCCAAGCACAGAAUGGUGAGCCACUGAAAAGAGAAACAUGGGAACAGUUUAAUGUUAAGCUAUCUUAUUCUUUAAGAACUGGGGAUCACUAAAGUAUGAAUUUUUACACAGAAGAAUAAAAGGAUGCAGAGCUGAUGGGGACUGAGCAGGAUAAGCAGAGUCAAGAAAGACUAGGACUUCUCCUUAUACCUAUUGAACCUGACUUAGGGUACCAUGAUAGAAAUGCACCAGGAUUCCCACAAAGUUAUCCUCAUAGUGUUUUGAUUGAGCCAGUCCUGCUGAGCAGCUGAUGGUUUUCUCAGCAUCUGUCCUGUAGGAGGUGUUCUCUGAGCCCCAGGAGUCCUGCAGGUCACCCAGCCCCCAACACUCUGGCUUCUUUCAAAAGCAGAGCUGGAGGGCACAUCUGCCAAGUUCCUCUGCUAACAAGCAAUCUCUUCUCUGGUAGUUGUGCUGGAAUAAUUGAGCACAGCAGCAUGUGCAUGUGAUAAUGUGCAUGUACUUGUAUGUGGGGAAAGUGGGGUCAGCUGCUGCUAGCCUGGGGUGAGAUGAAGUUUCUGUCUGCUUUCCAGUUACCUUGCAACUGCUUCCUUCUCCAGAUAUUUGAUUUUGCUUCCUUCCUCUGUUUUCUCUCCUGCUUCUUCUCACAUUCCUGAUAGGGGCUUCCUUGUGCCCCUAAGACCACACUGUUCCAGAACCUUACCAGGGUAAAUUCUAGGACUUUCUCUAAAAUGGCUGGUACCUCCAGGAAAUGGGAUAAGUUCCUGAGCAAAGAAGAGUAAGACUAACUCAGAAGGUAGAGGGCAUAGGAGGGGCAUUCUAGUCAGGUGAUGUGCCCAGUCAUUAGGGAUAUAAAGUUUAGAAGCAGGAUAUCUGAGUAAAAACUGUUUUAUGUCCUCCUGGCUAUGUAGCUUUAUACUGCUUCAAUUCCAUCUGUCUUUAAAUUGGGAGGUAAUAACAAUAACUUAUGUUAUUAUCCGUAUGUAGCUUUCCAUUGAUUUAAAGAUUUUGAGACUGUCUUCUGUGAGUGAGGCCCCGGAGACUUUGUUCCCAACCUCCAAGAUCCAGGAGCUUUCAUUGGACACAUUCCUGCCCAGGUGAAGGGCCAUGACAACUCUUAAAGCUUUCUGUCUGAGGAUCAGAAACUCAGCUGCAACCCAGUGUGAUCAGCAUUGAAGCUAUGGGGAUCUCUAAGAAGUGCUUUCUGGGCCAGCUCCAAUGCUCUGAUUGUUUGAGUGACUUCUCGUCAUAGAACACAUAAUAGUCUCACUUAUGGAAGGGUCUGUAAGACUUGCAGGAAAACAAUGGGGGGAGGUAGUCAUUGCCUGCAGGAGCUGAGAAGCUGUCUCCUCUUUCCUUGGUACAAUCAAGCUGUUCAACACCAUCUACAAGAGUAGCUCACACAGAGGUAAACCUCAGGAGAUUUUCCAGCUUGAAGUCGAAGGGAAGGCAGUAGCUUUAAAUCAAUGCUAACUCCAGUAUAGAGAGAAGAGGAAAAACAGAUAAGAGAUCCAGGCCAACUUUGAGAAACAGAAAGUUUAAAAUAGCUGGGCCGUGUGUGUGUGUGUGUGU
rnacentral:sRNA from 1 species